UUCGAAGACAACUAGGAUGUUGGCUCAGAAGCAGCCAUACAUUCAAAGAGUGCGUAACAGCUCACUAGUCGAGAGUUCCUGCGCCGAAAAUGUCCGGGGCUGAAACACGACACCGAAGCCGUGGACUCGCAAUGCGAGUGGUAGAGGAGCAUUCUUAAAACCGACGAAGCUGUACCGGAAGGAGCAGUGGAGGGAUAAGAAGAGAGAAUGCCGGAAUGAGUAGCGAGAGAAAGGUGGGAAUCCUUUCGGCCGAAUAUCUAAGGUUUCCAGAGUAAAGCUGAUCUGCUCUGGGUAAGUCGGGGCCUAAGCACAGGUCGCAAGACGUAAGCGAUGGAUAACAGGUUUAGAUUCCUGUACCACGCAUUAUCAGAACUGUAGGGACGCAUGUGGAAAGCACGAGCCGGGAAUGGAAAGACCGGUACAAGCGAGGUAGGUGUACAAUAGGCAAAUCCGUUGUAUAAUCCGAAGACGUGAUGUGGAGCGAAAUAAAGUAGUGAAGCGUGUGAGCCAUGUGCCGAGAAAAGCUGCUAUUGUGUAAUGCGUGCCCGUACCGUAAACCGACACAGGUGGAUGAGGAGAGAAUCCUAAGGCCGGCGGAAGAAGCAUUGUUAAGGAACUCGGCAAAAUGACCCCGUAACUUCGGGAGAAGGGGUGCCUGCGAGAGCAGGCCGCAGAGAAUAGGCUCAAGCAACUGUUUAGCAAAAACACAGGUCUAUGCGAAACCGAAAGGUGAAGUAUAUGGGCUGACGCCUGCCCGGUGCUGGAAGGUUAAGAGGAGAGGUUAGCGCAAGCGAAGCUUUGAAUUUAAGCCCCAGUAAACGGCGGCCGUAACUAUAACGGUCCUAAGGUAGCGAAAUUCCUUGUCGGGUAAGUUCCGACCCGCACGAAAGGCGUAAUGAUUUGGGCACUGUCUCGACAAUGCACCCGGUGAAAUUGAAAUACCAGUGAAGAUGCUGGUUACCUGCGCCAGGACGGAAAGACCCCAUGGAGCUUUACUCCAGUUUGAUACUGGGAUUCGGUACUGUCUGUACAGGAUAGGUGGGAGGCUAGGAAAUGGUGACGCCAGUUGCCAUGGAGCCAACCUUGGGAUACCACCCUUACAGUACUGGGUUUCUAACCUGCAGCCGUAACCCGGCUGGGGGACAAUGUCUGACGGGGAGUUUGACUGGGGCGGUCGCCUCCGAAAGAGUAUCGGAGGCGCUCAAAGGUUCCCUCAGAAUGGUUGGAAACCAUUCGAAGAGUG
rnacentral:rRNA from 1 species